CAAUAGCGUAUAUUAAAGUUGUUGCAGUUAAAAAGCUCGUAGUUGAAUUUCUGGCGGGCGCGCCGGUCUUCCAAGUGUUGUACUGGGCGCAGUCCGCCAUCCUUGUGGAGAGGGCUCGCAUUGAGUUGCGUGUCGGAUCUGCAUCAUUUACUGUGAAAAAAUUAGAGUGUUUAAAGCAGGCUGUCGCUUGAAUACAUUAGCAUGGAAUAAUAAGAUAGGACUUCGGUCUAUUUUGUUGGUUGCGAACCGAGGUAAUGAUUAAUAGGGAUAGUUGGGGGUAUUCAUAUUUAAUUGUCAGAGGUGAAAUUCUUGGAUUUAUGAAAGAUGAACAACUGCGAAAGCAUUUACCAAGGAUGGUUUCAUUAA
rnacentral:rRNA from 1 species